rnacentral:rRNA from 1 species
CGUACACUCCUACGGGAGGCAGCAGUGGGGAAUAUUGCACAAUGGGCGCAAGCCUGAUGCAGCCAUGCCGCGUGUAUGAAGAAGGCCUUCGGGUUGUAAAGUACUUUCAGCGGGGAGGAAGGCAAUACGGUUAAUAACCGUGUUGAUUGACGUUACCCGCAGAAGAAGCACCGGCUAACUCCGUGCCAGCAGCCGCGGUAAUACGGAGGGUGCAAGCGUUAAUCGGAAUUACUGGGCGUAAAGCGCACGCAGGCGGUCUGUCAAGUCGGAUGUGAAAUCCCCGGGCUCAACCUGGGAACUGCAUUCGAAACUGGCAGGCUUGAGUCUUGUAGAGGGGGGUAGAAUUCCAGGUGUAGCGGUGAAAUGCGUAGAGAUCUGGAGGAAUACCGGUGGCGAAGGCGGCCCCCUGGACAAAGACUGACGCUCAGGUGCGAAAGCGUGGGGAGCAAACAGGAUUAGAUACCCCUGUAGUCC